rnacentral:rRNA from 1 species
AGCGAACGUUAGCGGCGGGCCUAACACAUGCAAGUCGAGCGAGAAAGGGGCUUCGGUCCCGAGUACAGCGGCGGACGGGUGAGGAACACGUAGGUAAUCUGCCCUUCAGUGGAGGACAACGGUCCGAAAGGACCGCUAAUACUGCAUACGUUCCCCGGGACUCCGGUUCCGGGGAGGAAAGCCUCGCAAGGGGCGCUGAAGGAGGUGCCUGCGUCGCAUCAGCUAGUUGGUGGGGUAACGGCCUACCAAGGCGAAGACGCGUAGCUGGUCUGAGAGGAUGAUCAGCCACACUGGGACUGAGACACGGCCCAGACUCCUACGGGAGGCAGCAGUGGGGAAUAUUGGACAAUGGGGGCAACCCUGAUCCAGCCACGCCGCGUGAGUGAUGAAGGCCUUCGGGUCGUAAAGCUCUGUGGGGAGGGACGAACGUCCGGGUGAAGAAUCCGGGGUGACGGUACCUCCUUAGCAAGCACCGGCUAACUUCGUGCCAGCCGCCGCCGUAACAC